CCCCCUUCUGCGUUUUGGCUAAGAUCAAAUGUAGGAUCUGUUCUUAUCAGUUUAAUGUCUGAUAGAUAUAGUAUGGUUGGAGAGCUCAAUAGUUCUGUCCUUUC
rnacentral:snRNA from 1 species